GUAGGUGGCAAGCGUUGUCCGGAAUUAUUGGGCGUAAAGCGCGCGCAGGCGGUUCUUUAAGUCUGAUGUGAAAGCCCACGGCUCAACCGUGGAGGGUCAUUGGAAACUGGAGAACUUGAGUACAGAAGAGGAAAGCGGAAUUCCACGUGUAGCGGUGAAAUGCGUAGAGAUGUGGAGGAACACCAGUGGCGAAGGCGGCUUUCUGGUCUGUAACUGACGCUGAGGCGCGAAAGCGUGGGGAGCAAACAGGAUUAGAUACCCUGGUAGUCCACGCCGUAAACGAUGAGUGCUAAGUGCUAGGGGGUUUCCGCCCCUUAGUGCUGCAGCUAACGCAUUAAGCACUCCGCCUGGGAGUACGGCCGCAAGGCUG
rnacentral:rRNA from 1 species